CGUAGGGUGCAAGCGUUGUCCGGAAUUAUUGGGCGUAAAGAGCUCGUAGGUGGCGGGUCACGUCGGGUGUGAAAGCCCGGGGCUUAACCCCGGGUCUGCAUUCGAUACGGGCUUGCUAGGGUCCGGCAGGGGAGACUGGAAUUCCUGGUGUAGCGGUGAAAUGCGCAGAUAUCAGGAGGAACACCGGUGGCGAAGGCGGGUCUCUGGGCCGGUACCGACGCUGAGGAGCGAAAGCGUGGGGAGCGAACAGG
rnacentral:rRNA from 1 species